UUUCCCUCCUGGAACUCCUAAUGAGUUGUGAUGUUUAUAGCUGUUAUUUGCGAUAGGUGAGUGUGAUAAAACUACGUACUUGUUCGAUAGACAGACAUCCAUUCUAUAUAUCCUGUAAUAUGUUAUCCGCGCACUCUUAAUUGACGAAACCUCCACUAUGAUCCCAAGCUCUCUGGCAUAUCUUUUCUUAUUAUGUAUAACAAUCUCUAAUUUGUAAAAAUGGUUCCAUGAUGCAAAUUAUUCCUUUUCCAAAUUCUAACUGAUAAUAUCUUCUGAAAUACUUGGUUAUGAAGAAAAUCAUGCGAUUUUAAAGAAGCUAUCGAACGUAUACUAGGCCCCCUAUGAUAUGAAAAAAAUUUACUGGAAAAAUAUUUUCAUAUUUGUGAAUAAUCAUAUGUGGAAACCUGAAUUUAAUUCCUAAUGCACCGCGUCAAGACUUGUACUUAUAUUUUCCUCAAAGAUUCGAAAAUUAUCUGCACACGGGGAGAACAUGCUAGGCUAGCCGCUACUUGAGGCGCUUAUGUCAAUCAGCAAGUUUCUCUAUUGGGCAGCAGGCAUUCCGUUCCUCACAAGCGGGCAGAAUCGAUCGUAAUUAUAUAGCAUAUAUGAAAAUAACCUGAUAGACCUAGUUAAAAUGUACGUUGUCUAUCUUUUUUAAGGAAAUAUGAUGAUGCAUUGGACAGUCUGUGAUUUAAGAGAGGAAUUCUUGUUGCUGCGUGCGUUUUCCUGUAGCAAUAUAUACAUUGUUUUAAAUGUAAAAAGUUUGGGGUACAUUAUGAUAACUGAUUAUCAAAAACAACACAUAUCAGACACGAGAAAUUAGGUUUUCAAAAAUACACAUUGCAAAUGUCAUGAUAUAUUUGGUCCAUUGCAUACAGAUUUAGUCCUGGCUGAAUAUCAAUACAAAUGUAAUAUAGAAAAAUCCUUUCUACUAUAGUUAUUAAAUGUUGCUGCUUACUUACUAUUGAUGGCAGAAGUUCGCUGUGCUCGCGGUC
rnacentral:lncRNA from 1 species